rnacentral:rRNA from 1 species
GGCGGUUUGUCGCGUCUGCUGUGAAAGCCCGGGGCUUAACCCCGUGGUGUGCAGUGGGUACGGGCAGACUUGAGUGCAGUAGGGGAGACUGGAAUUCCUGGUGUAGCGGUGAAAUGCGCAGAUAUCAGGAGGAACACCGAUGGCGAAGGCAGGUCUCUGGGCUGUUACUGACGCUGAGGAGCGAAAGCAUGGGGAGCGAACAGGAUUAGAUACCCUGGUAGUCCAUGCCGUAAACGUUGGGCACUAGGUGUGGGGGACAUUCCACGUUUUCCGCGCCGUAGCUAACGCAUUAAGUGCCCCGCCUGGGGAGUACGGCCGCAAGGCUAAAACUCAAAGGAAUUGACGGGGGCCCGCACAAGCGGCGGAGCAUGCGGAUUAAUUCGAUGCAACGCGAAGAACCUUACCAAGGCUUGACAUACACCAGACCGGCCCAGAGAUGGGUUUUCCUCUCUGAGGUUGGUGUACAGGUGGUGCAUGGUUGUCGUCAGCUCGUGUCGUGAGAUGUUGGGUUAAGUCCCGCAACGAGCGCAACCCUCGUUCUAUGUUGCCAGCACGUGAUGGUGGGGACUCAUAGGAGACUGCCGGGGUCAACUCGGAGGAAGGUGGGGAUGACGUCAAAUCAUCAUGCCCCUUAUGUCUUGGGCUUCACGCAUGCUACAAUGGCCGGUACAAUGGGUUGCGAUACCGUGAGGUGGAGCUAAUCCCAAAAAGCUGGUCUCAGUUCGGAUCGUGGUCUGCAACUCGACCACGUGAAGUCGGAGUCGCUAGUAAUCGCAAUCAGCAACGCUGCGGUGAAUACGUUCCCG